rnacentral:lncRNA from 1 species
UAAUUGUGAGAAAGGAAAUAGAGUUAUCACAAAAUUUGUAGAUGAAAGGUGACAUUUUGUGUUCUGCAUUUUUUUUUCCUAUUUCCCUGACAUUAGAUUUGCUAGAGUUGGAUUUUCAAUGAUGGAAGCAAUAUCCCAAUCCUCACUAGUUGAAGUAAGUGCUGUGAGAGUAACCACAACAGAACUCAUAUUUGGACGUUGUUGUGGAUUACUCUCUGUGCAUGCUUUUCCAAGUUGUGCCAUCUGCAAGAAGAAAAAUGGCCUGAGUUUCUUAAAUCAGAAAUACAAAAAAUGUUUAUGCUUUGUGAUAACUCAUACCUUACUAACUGAAUCGAUUGGGUAGUUAUCUCCUAACCUAGGAUCCACCAGUUUUUUAAGACCUUCUGUGGGAUCUUGCUCAUCAAAAACUUCAUCAAACUGUCAUAUAUAUAUCACUAACAGAUUAAACACAAGAAAGGGAAAAUGUAGUUCUUGAUUGUUUAUGUAAGAUUACUAGGUUGUCAUUGAAAAGUGAUAAAUAGUAGGGUGUGAAGACUCACCAAAGACACAAGGCCCUUUGAUUCAGCACCAUGUACACCACCCACGAACAAUGCUUCUUUAGCAGAAAUUAGUUCAUAAAGAACAACUCCGAAAGCAUAGACAUCUAUUUUGGGAGAAACAUUGCCAUAUGCAUAUCUGAAGACAAGACAACGGAAAAAUUGAAUUCAGGCUCAUGAGAAGCAUACUUAUUUUUAUGUCUACAACCACAAAAGCAUGUGUUAACAAUGAAAAACUUCUCUCUCAAAUGCAGUUUAAGUAAAACAAGAGCUGCACAACAGUUAACACUUUCAAUAUUCAUAAAAGGGAAAAGAACAGACUUUCAAUAACCCAACAGGACAAACCCAUAUAGCAAUCUAUCAACCCAAUUUUUAAGAUUUGUUUUAGUUUGUGACACAGAUUCUUUAUAUAAGAUAAUCUUGUUUGAGACAUAGUCAAGCAUUAAAUGUGAGUGUCUCUUCCGGCAAAGAUUCAAACUGGACAAAAUGUGCAUUUGAUUAUGAUAAAGGAUUUCUCAGUUUUAGUUCAUUAAGGAUUAUUGUAUGCUUACAUAUUGUGCAUUUAUUUGAAUGUGACCGACACGAAUCAGUUUUAUGAUAGUGAAUGGGUGUGCUACAGACCUAUAUGUUAAGAUUCUCUGAUCCUUAAUUCCCAAACUCCACAAAUCCUAUUUACUAAAAGGAAGGUAUCACUUAAAAGAGAGAAACACAAUUCAUCGUACUCUGGUGGCAUGUAACCAAAUGUGCCCUUCAUAUUAGCUGUGUGAAGUGACGAACUUCCAACAUCAAUCAACUUGGUUAAACCAAAGUCUGCAACCUGCAAAAAAAAAUAAUAUAGGAUCUCUCACAAAAUUCCCAAGUAGAAAAGUAGUAAUAAGAUCCACAAAGUCAUUGAAACAGAUUGUACCUUGGCACACAAUUUUUUGUCUAUUAAAAUGUUUUCUGACUUUAUGUCGCGAUGGAUAUAUGCAGGCACAGUAUGCUCAUGAAAGUACUGCAGACCUCUGGCUGAAUCCAGAGCAAUUUGCACUCGGGCUGACCAUGGCAAAGGAUCAAAACCUGGAAACAAACUUUGACUUGAUCGUUAACUUACAAAAGCAUUACACUAAACAAUCAAUCAAAUGCAUAGUACUGAAAAUGGACAUUUUUAAUGUGCUCAUAUAACCUGA